UACGUAGGGGGCGAGCGUUGUCCGGAUUUAUUGGGCGUAAAGAGCUCGUAGGCGGCUUGGCAAGUCGGGUGUGAAACCUCCAGCUCAACCUGGAGACGCCACUCGAUACUGCCAUGGCUAGAGUCCGGUAGGGGACCACGGAAUUCCUGGUGUAGCGGUGAAAUGCGCAGAUAUCAGGAGGAACACCGGUGGCGAAGGCGGGUGUCUGGGCCGGCAUGACGCUGAGGAGCGAAAGCGUGGGGUAGCAAACAGG
rnacentral:rRNA from 1 species